GACGAACGCUGGCGGCGUGCCUAAUACAUGCAAGUUGAGCGCUGAAGGUUGGUACUUGUACCAACUGGAUGAGCAGCGAACGGGUGAGUAACGCGUGGGGAAUCUGCCUUUGAGCGGGGGACAACAUUUGGAAACAAAUGCUAAUACCGCAUAAAAACUUUAAACACAAGUUUUAAGUUUGAAAGAUGCAAUUGCAUCACUCAAAGAUGAUCCCGCGUUGUAUUAGCUAGUUGGUGAGGUAAAGGCUCACCAAGGCGAUGAUACAUAGCCGACCUGAGAGGGUGAGCGGCCGCAUUGGGACGGGGACACGCCCCAAACUCCUACGGGAGGCAGCAGUAGGGAUCCUUCGGGAAUGGGCGGAAGUCUGACCGAGCAACGCCGCGUGAGUGAGGAGGGUUUUCGGAUCGUGAAACUCUGUUGGUAGAGAGGAACGUUGGUGAGAGUGGAAAGCUCAUCAAGUGACGGUAACUACCCAGAAAGGGACGGCUAACUACGUG
rnacentral:rRNA from 1 species